AAGGCAGCAGUGGGGAAUAUUGCACAAUGGGCGCAAGCCUGAUGCAGCUAUGUCGCGUGUAUGAAGAAGACCUUAGGGUUGUAAAGUACUUUCAAUAGCAUAAGAAGGUAAUGAAACUAAUAAUUUUAUUAUCAGACGUUAGCUAUAAAAGAAGCACCGGCUAACUCCGUGCCAGCAGCCGCGGUAAUACGGAGGGUGCUAGCGUUAAUCGGAAUUACUGGGCGUAAAGAGCACUUAGGUGGUUUAUUAAGUCAGAUGUGAAAUCCCUAGACUCAAUCUAGGAACUGCGUUUGAAACUAAUAGACUAGAGUUUCGUAGAGGGAGGUAGAAUUCUAGGUGUAGCGGUGAAAUGCAUAGAUAUCUAGAGGAAUAUCAGUGGCGAAGGCGACCUCCUGGACGAUAACUGACGCUAAAAUGCGAAAGCAUGGGUAGCAAACAGGAUUAGAUACCCUGGUAGUCCAUGCUGUAAACGAUGUCGACUAAGAAGUUGAAAGCUUUGACUUAUAAUUUCUGUAGCUAACGCGUUAAGUCGACCGCCUGGGGAGUACGGCCGCAAGGCUAAAACUCAAAUGAAUUGACGGGGGCCUGCACAAGCGGUGGAGCAUGUGGUUUAAUUCGAUGCAACGCGUAAAACCUUACCUGGUCUUGACAUCCACAGAAUUUUAUAGAAAUAUAGAAGUGCAAUUUGAACUGUGAGACAGGUGCUGCAUGGCUGUCGUCAGCUCGUGUUGUGAAAUGUUGGGUUAAGUCCCGCAACGAGCGCAACCCUUGUUUUUUGUUACCAUCAGAUAAUGCUGGGGACUCAAAAGAGACUGCCAGUUAUAAACUGGAGGAAGGUGGGGACGACGUCAAGUCAUCAUGGCCCUUACGACCAGGGCUACACACGUGCUACAAUGGCGUAUACAAAGAGAUGCAAUAUUGUAAAAUAAAGCCAAUCUAUAAAAUACGUCUUAGUUCGGACUGGAGUCUGCAACUCGACUCCACGAAGUCGGAAUCGCUAGUAAUCGUGGAUCAGCAUGCCACGGUGAAUAUGUUUCCAGGCCUUGUACACACCGCCCGUCACACCAUGGAAGUGGGUUGCAAAAGAAGUAAAUUAAUUUAACCUUCUUAACGAGAAAAUAGUUUACCACUUUGUGAUUCAUGACUGGG
rnacentral:rRNA from 1 species